AAAUAAUAUUUGUUUUAUUAUUUAAUUUCCAUGUGAAAUUACUAUUUUACAGCUUAAUCUCAGUGAGGUUGAGGAAGGUCAGACCUCAGUCAGUGCUCCCGCUCAUUGGGAAAAUUAUGCAACAGAUCAGUACAGACUCCUCUCUCUGUCCAGAAUAUCCAUCAUCCUUUGGCCUUCCAGAAUUCACCAGGAGAGCAACAGAAUUGGCUUCGGGCAGGGACUGCCAUGCCAUUGUGGAGAACUGGGUGUUGUGUGUGCAGACUGGGCUGUACUGGGGGCUGUUCAUCUGGGGGCUGAGCUCUUGAAGCACUGGUACAAUGUGAGCGGUGUUUGGUGUGUGCCAGUCUACCUUUCCUCCCCCUGUGAUGACUCCUUGACUGGUAUCGCUAAGGCAGCAGGCAUCCAGGAUGUCCGUUGGUACCGGUAUUGGGAUAUGGAGCAGAGGGGUGUGGGUGUGCAGAAAAUGAUGGCAGAUCUGGAGAUGGCUCCAGAGCAGAGUGUCAUUGUUCUGUCUGCUUCUUCUCACUGCCCUACUGGUUCAGACCUCCCAGAAGCACUGGAGACUUAGUCCUCA